UACGUAGGGGGCAAGCGUUGUCCGGAAUCAUUGGGCGUAAAGAGCGCGUAGGCGGUCCGGUAAGUCCGCUCUGAAAGUCCGGGGGCUCAACCCCGGGAGGCGGGCGGAUACUGUCGGGCUAGAGUCCGGAAGAGGCGAGUGGAAUUCCUGGUGUAGCGGUGAAAUGCGCAGAUAUCAGGAGGAACACCGGUGGCGAAGGCGGCCCCCUGGGCCGUACCUGACGCUGAGGCGCGAAGGCUAAGGGAGCGAACGGG
rnacentral:rRNA from 1 species